rnacentral:rRNA from 1 species
UACGAGGGGGGCGAGCGUUGUUCGGAAUUAUUGGGCGUAAAGGGUGCGUAGGCGGUUUGGUAAGUCUUAUGUGAAAUCUACAGGCUCAACUUGUAGUCUGCAUGAGAAACUGCCGGGCUUGAGUAUGGGAGAGGUGAGUGGAAUUCCUGGUGUAGCGGUGAAAUGCGUAGAGAUCGGGAGGAACACCAGCGGCGAAGGCGGCAAACUGGAUAGGCACUGACACUCAACAACGAAAGCGUGGGGAGCAAACAGG